AUGACGCCAGACAGCUUCCUCCUCCUGCACGAGUCCAUCUCCGCGCAUCAGACGCCGAGUCUCCACAGCACCAUGCCGCCGAGAUCCGCCAUCAUCAAUGUGAAAGAUGAAGCACCGCUCCACCAACGUCGCCGUCCUCUAGACAGCGCCACCACCUUGCAGAGCGGAAAGAUACAAUGGCGAUGGAAAGCAAGAGCUAGGACGAGGAGGGUACCACCGCCGCCACCCCCCGCACCCCAACAGCGCCCACCGACCACCAAGCUCCCUAAACGGCGCCUUCAAGAAGGAUACGACGCCGAUGGCGCCGCCGCCGCCCAACAAAGUUGGAGCUUUCGCCCGGGAGAACUAGGGGAAGGGGGAGUGGGGGGAUCAGACCUGUCAGACGCCUCCAAGGAGGGACACGGCGCCCUCAGGCGUCGCUGUCGACGUAGCCGAGCAUGGUCGGCCAUGGCUUUCGCCCGGACUGGAUUCCCCACCACUAGCACCACCAGCGCCGGCGUCCCAUGGAACACGGGCGGGCCGGAUGGGGGAGAACACGCCGUACAGGGAGGAGGGGCGCCAGAUCUGGCGCCGUCGCCCUCGUCCUCCGAGAUUCCGCCGCCCGCGCGGCCAAGAACGCCGGAACCAAACGCCCGCACCACCGCCCGCCGCUAA
rnacentral:rRNA from 1 species